GGCAGCGGGGGCUUCGGCCUGCCGGCGAGUGGCGAACGGGUGAGUAAUGCAUCGGAACGUGCCCAUGUCGUGGGGGAUAACGUAUCGAAAGGUACGCUAAUACCGCAUACGUCCUGAGGGAGAAAGCGGGGGAUCUUCGGACCUCNCGCGAUUGGAGCGGCCGAUGUCNGAUUANCUAGUAGGUGAGGUAAAGGCUCACCUAGGCGACGAUCCGUAGCGGGUCUGAGAGGAUGAUCCGCCACACUGGGACUGAGACACGGCCCAGACUCCUACGGGAGGCAGCAGUGGGGAAUUUUGGACAAUGGGGGCAAGCCUGAUCCANCCAUGCCGCGUGAGUGAAGAAGGCCUUCGGGUUGUAAAGCUCUUUCGGCCGGGAAGAAAUCGUGUUCUCUAACAUAGGACAUGGAUGACGGUACCGGACUAAGAAGCACCGGCUAACUACGUGC
rnacentral:rRNA from 1 species